rnacentral:rRNA from 1 species
CCUACGGGGGGCAGCAGUGAGGAAUAUUGGUCAAUGGCCGGAAGGCUGAACCAGCCAUGCCGCGUGAAGGUCAGUGCCCUAUGGGCGUUAAACUUCUUUUGUGCGGGAGCAAUAAUGGUCACGUGUGGCCAGACGAGAGUACCGUACGAAUAAGCAUCGGCUAACUCCGUGCCAGCAGCCGCGGUAAUACGGGGGAUGCAAGCGUUAUCCGGAUUUAUUGGGUUUAAAGGGUGCGUAGGCUGUGAGGUAAGUCAGAGGUGAAAUGCCCCCGCUCAACGGGGUGAAGUGCCAUUGAUACUGCCUGGCUGGAAUGCGGAUGCCGUGGGAGGAAUGUGUGGUGUAGCGGUGAAAUGCAUAGAUAUCACACAGAACACCGAUUGCGAAGGCAUCUCACGAAUCCGCGAUUGACGCUGAUGCACGAAAGCGUGGGUAUCAAACAGGAUUAGAUACCCCAGUAGUC